rnacentral:rRNA from 1 species
AAUGGGUCAGCGACUUAUAUUCUGUAGCAAGGUUAACCGAAUAGGGGAGCCGAAGGGAAACCGAGUCUUAACUGGGCGUUAAGUUGCAGGGUAUAGACCCGAAACCCGGUGAUCUAGCCAUGGGCAGGUUGAAGGUUGGGUAACACUAACUGGAGGACCGAACCGACUAAUGUUGAAAAAUUAGCGGAUGACUUGUGGCUGGGGGUGAAAGGCCAAUCAAACCGGGAGAUAGCUGGUUCUCCCCGAAAGCUAUUUAGGUAGCGCCUCGUGAAUUCAUCUCCGGGGGUAGAGCACUGUUUCGGCAAGGGGGUCAUCCCGACUUACCAACCCGAUGCAAACUGCGAAUACCGGAGAAUGUUAUCACGGGAGACACACGGCGGGUGCUAACGUCCGUCGUGAAGAGGGAAACAACCCAGACCGCCAGCUAAGGUCCCAAAGUCAUGGUUAAGUGGGAAACGAUGUGGGAAGGCCCAGACAGCCAGGAUGUUGGCUUAGAAGCAGCCAUCAUUUAAAGAAAGCGUAAUAGCUCACUGGUCGAGUCGGCCUGCGCGGAAGAUGUAACGGGGCUAAACCAUGCACCGAAGCUGCGGCAGCGACACUAUGUGUUGUUGGGUAGGGGAGCGUUCUGUAAGCCUGUGAAGGUGUGCUGUGAGGCAUGCUGGAGGUAUCAGAAGUGCGAAUGCUGACAUAAGUAACGAUAAAGCGGGUGAAAAGCCCGCUCGCCGGAAGACCAAGGGUUCCUGUCCAACGUUAAUCGGGGCAGGGUGAGUCGACCCCUAAGGCGAGGCCGAAAGGCGUAGUCGAUGGGAAACAGGUUAAUAUUCCUGUACUUGGUGUUACUGCGAAGGGGGGACGGAGAAGGCUAUGUUGGCCGGGCGACGGUUGUCCCGGUUUAAGCGUGUAGGCUGGUUUUCCAGGCAAAUCCGGAAAAUCAAGGCUGAGGCGUGAUGACGAGGCACUACGGUGCUGAAGCAACAAAUGCCCUGCUUCCAGGAAAAGCCUCUAAGCAUCAGGUAACAUCAAAUCGUACCCCAAACCGACACAGGUGGUCAGGUAGAGAAUACCAAGGCGCUUGAGAGAACUCGGGUGAAGGAACUAGGCAAAAUGGUGCCGUAACUUCGGGAGAAGGCACGCUGAUAUGUAGGUGAAGCGACUUGCUCGUGGAGCUGAAAUCAGUCGAAGAUACCAGCUGGCUGCAACUGUUUAUUAAAAACACAGCACUGUGCAAACACGAAAGUGGACGUAUACGGUGUGACGCCUGCCCGGUGCCGGAAGGUUAAUUGAUGGGGUUAGCGCAAGCGAAGCUCUUGAUCGAAGCCCCGGUAAACGGCGGCCGUAACUAUAACGGUCCUAAGGUAGCGAAAUUCCUUGUCGGGUAAGUUCCGACCUGCACGAAUGGCGUAAUGAUGGCCAGGCUGUCUCCACCCGAGACUCAGUGAAAUUGAACUCGCUGUGAAGAUGCAGUGUACCCGCGGCAAGACGGAAAGACCCCGUGAACCUUUACUAUAGCUUGACACUGAACAUUGAGCCUUGAUGUGUAGGAUAGGUGGGAGGCUUUGAAGUGUGGACGCCAGUCUGCAUGGAGCCGACCUUGAAAUACCACCCUUUAAUGUUUGAUGUUCUAACGUUGGCCCGUUAUCCGGGUUGCGGACAGUGUCUGGUGGGUAGUUUGACUGGGGCGGUCUCCUCCUAAAGAGUAACGGAGGAGCACGAAGGUUGGCUAAUCCUGGUCGGACAUCAGGAGGUUAGUGCAAUGGCAUAAGCCAGCUUGACUGCGAGCGUGACGGCGCGAGCAGGUGCGAAAGCAGGUCAUAGUGAUCCGGUGGUUCUGAAUGGAAGGGCCAUCGCUCAACGGAUAAAAGGUACUCCGGGGAUAACAGGCUGAUACCGCCCAAGAGUUCAUAUCGACGGCGGUGUUUGGCACCUCGAUGUCGGCUCAUCACAUCCUGGGGCUGAAGUAGGUCCCAAGGGUAUGGCUGUUCGCCAUUUAAAGUGGUACGCGAGCUGGGUUUAGAACGUCGUGAGACAGUUCGGUCCCUAUCUGCCGUGGGCGCUGGAGAACUGAGGGGGGCUGCUCCUAGUACGAGAGGACCGGAGUGGACGCAUCACUGGUGUUCGGGUUGUCAUGCCAAUGGCACUGCCCGGUAGCUAAAUGCGGAAGAGAUAAGUGCUGAAAGCAUCUAAGCACGAAACUUGCCCCGAGAUGAGUUCUCCCUGACUCCCUGAGAGUCCUGAAGGAACGUUGAAGACGACGACGUUGAUAGGCCGGGUGUGUAAGCGCAGCGAUGCGUUGAGCUAACCGGUACUAAUGAACCGUGAGG